GUUCAGGCAUAUGAGAAGAAAACUAGUCCACGUUGGAUGUAUGAUCUUGGCCGGAAGAAGAAUUUUGCUCAGGUCUUCGGAAACGACAAAAAGUAUUGGUUCAUUCCGGCAUACUCAGAAGAGGACCUGCGAAGGAUGCCCGCUCUGCAGGGCCUCGACUAUCCUGUCAGGACAGACUUGGAUGGGCAAGAGUUGUAACAACACUGAAUUUCCCCAGUGCCCCUGACGACACAACCUUGUGCUGGACGGACAAAAUGUUUCAUGUAAAAUUCGACGGUUUUCACUUCAGCUGUCGAUGGUAUGGCAAAAGAAAAUCAGGCAUACUGUAUACACCAGCUGUUGUGUUACACUCACUGGUCCUAGAGGGCAUGUGAUGUAAAUUAUUUCUAGCAUAUGUUCUCAAAAGGAAAAAGGGAAAUUCCGGUGUCCUCUAGAUGGGCAUUGAGAUGCAUAUGCUGUACUUUGACUAAGAGUAGCCGAUUCAGAAAGAUACCAUUUGUUGAUGAAAAAUGACUUGCGUAAA